UUGUUGUUUGGAGUGCCUUUAAAUGCCGUUCGAUCGUUUCUCGUUUUCCAGCAUCAAGUAUUUUCCCGGUUCUUUGCGCCGUUAAUCUCAACUGAGUGAGUUUUGUAUCGAGUUUCGCUUCCUCGUUCGCCAUAAUAAAUUGCUCGCUAGCGUCGAAAUAAAUCCCAAAAUAUCACAAAUAUAUCUUCGUCGGUAGGUGCCACGUAUUCCGAAAUUGUGCCUCCAAAUAAGUACGGAACACGAAAUGUAUUUUAUAAUUUAAUAGCAAUAAACUAUACUCCCAACUCGCUGUUUUAAAAUCCCAAGUCACAGUCCCAACAUUGUUCACUCCCCCCUGUUUUCUCGCACGUGUUCAGCAAUCCCCUACUAACUCUAAAUGUCCAUCGUUGUCCUUCAAAAUACACUAAUGUAUAAAGCAAAAUAACGUCAAUUUCCAACAA